rnacentral:rRNA from 1 species
UACGAAGGGGGCUAGCGUUGUUCGGAAUCACUGGGCGUAAAGGGCGCGUAGGCGGCUUUAUAAGUCGGGGGUGAAAGCCUGUGGCUCAACCACAGAAUUGCCUUCGAUACUGUAGAGCUUGAGACCGGAAGAGGCAAGUGGAACUGCGAGUGUAGAGGUGAAAUUCGUAGAUAUUCGCAAGAACACCGAUGGCGAAGGCAGCCAUCUGGACCGACACUGACGCUGAGGCGCGAAAGCGUGGGGAGCAAACAGG